UUUUAUCUUAUCAUAUCUUUUGUUUCUCUUUAUUUUUUAGAAUUUUAUCAUAUACCUCUUCAGGUUUUAACACGUUGAUGGACAUGAUUGCUAUAGCAUUCACCAACUUUUGACCCCUUAUUGGAUCAGUUUAAUUUUUUAAGUUCCAUGUGUCCAAUAUUGAUAAAAUCUAUACACAAAUGACCACUACUUAAAAAUAAAUCGUUUUUGAAAAAAAAACAUUCAACUGCUUUAGCAUGCUAUUACCAUUAUUCAUUUUUUUCAUGGGC